GUUACUGAGGAAACUCCACAUGAUGACAUCAAGUAGGACACCAGUAGCUAUUUGGACAGUUCUGCCCUUCUUUUUAAUCUACUAUUCUUCCCUUUUCAUAUGUAGUGCUCUGCCUUAUUAGUUUUGUAUUGCUCAAUUAGGAUGCUUGCCAGAUUUGUAUAUGUUCUGACUCUACUGCUGCUGUCUUCAGGGAUUCUGGGCUCCCGCCUUCUCAGUGAUGACCUUCCUCCUUUGGGACAGCUUACUCCUGCAAAUCUGGACCAACCCCUCCUACCUGUAAAAACAUGGCUCUUCAGGAAGGCAGUUGGAGAUGAUUGUGGGUCAGAGAUUAUUUUGGACAUAUCAGUGAAUGAUUCAUAUUCAGAACUGGAUAGCAAACACAUGUCUCUGUUGAUUCUGUUGUUCUAUUUUAUCUCCAGGAAAUUUAACAUAUAGGUGAAACCACUUGGAGAGUUUGCAAGCUAUUCAUAUGGUAAUGACACCCAAUUAUUUUUCUCUUUCCCACUGAAAUCCAAUAAAGUUAUUUCAACUGAUACCUGAACUGAACUGAACUGAUAUCUGGUGUUUAAAAUAGCUGAAAAGAGAGUAAACACAUUAAAGCUUAAUCCAGACACUAGAGAUUCUCUUGGUUACUUGAUAGGCAGUGACAUUUCUGUGCAGGACAAAG
rnacentral:lncRNA from 1 species